GAUGAACGCUGGCGGCGUGCCUAAUACAUGCAAGUAGAACGCUGAAGGAGGAGCUUGCUCUUCUGGAUGAGUUGCGAACGGGUGAGUAACGCGUAGGUAACCUGCCUGGUAGCGGGGGAUAACUAUUGGAAACGAUAGCUAAUACCGCAUGACAACAGUUAUUGCAUGAUAACUGUUUAAAAGGGGCAACUGCUCCACUACCAGAUGGACCUGCGUUGUAUUAGCUAGUUGGUGAGGUAACGGCUCACCAAGGCGACGAUACAUAGCCGACCUGAGAGGGUGAUCGGCCACACUGGGACUGAGACACGGCCCAGACUCCUACGGGAGGCAGCAGUAGGGAAUCUUCGGCAAUGGACGGAAGUCUGACCGAGCAACGCCGCGGGAGUGAAGAAGGUUUUCGGAUCGUAAAGCUCUGUUGUAAGAGAAGAACGAGUGUGAGAGUGGAAAGUUCACACUGUGACGGUAUCUUGCCAGAAAGGGACGGCUAACUACGUG
rnacentral:rRNA from 1 species